AAAGUCGUAACAAGGUAACCGUAGGUGAACCUGCGGUUGGAUCAUUAGUCAGUUUGACAUCGGGGUGCACUUGUGUGCCCUGGGUUUGAAUGCUUUGGCAUUCUUGACCAUCCACCUUUUUGUGCACUGUAAUUGUCUCUGGCGGUUGGAUGGCAGGAUUAGAUACCUCUACAAAUCUGCCAAGAUUGGUGGAGGAAACAGGUUCUGCUGUCUGUCAGCUCGGGCAACCGAGCCGUGGACAAUCCGCCAACCACUUACAUUUUACCCACUCAUUUUUCAUGUCUGACAUUAUCGUUUUGUACGUUUGAAACAAAAAAUGUAUGAAAAACAACUUUUGGCAACGGAUCUCUUGGCUCUC
rnacentral:misc_RNA from 1 species